rnacentral:lncRNA from 1 species
AUUGAGAAAUAUUGUAGAUUUAGGGUUGUGAUUUAGAAUUUAGGAUAACAAGAAAUUUUGUUGAUAGAUGAGUAUUCUUUGUGGACUUUUGAUCAAUAAGUUGUAUUUUUAAGAUAAAAUUCUCAAAAGUGUUAUUUAGGAAAGUUUUAUUUUUAUUGGGAAAUAUUGUAGAUUUGGGGUUCAGAUUAAAAAUAUUAGAACAACAAGAAUUUUUGUUGAUAGGUGAGCAUUCUUUUAAAAGUUUUGAUCAAUAGGUUGUAUAUUUUAUAUAAAAUUCUCAAAAAUUCUAUUUUUGGAAAGUUUCAUUUUUGUGAAUAAUAGUGUGGAUUUGGGGUUUUGAUUUAGAAAUUAGGAUAACAAAAAUUAUUUGUUGAUAGAUGGAGUAUUCUUUUACAUUUUUUGAUGAAUAGUUGUAUUUUUUAAAUAUAAUUAUCAAAAGUUCUAUUUUAGGAAAGUUUUCAUUUAGGUGAAUAAUAGUGUGUAUUUGGGGUUUUGAUUUAGAAAUUAGGAUAACAAGAAUUGUUUGUUUAAUGAUGGAGUAUUCUUUUAGAUUUUUUGACGAAUAGUUGUAUUUUUUAAAUAUAAUUAUCAAAAGUUCUAUUUUAGGAAAGUUUUCAUUGUCUAUAGAAAUAUUGUAGAUUUGGAGUUGUGAUUUAGAAAUUAGGAUAACAAUAUUUUUUGUUGAUGUAUGAGUAUUUGUUUAGAUUUUUGGAUCAAUAGGUUAUAUUUUAGAUAAAAUUCUCAAAACUUCUAUUUUUAGAAAGUUUUCAUUUUUAUUGAGAAAUAUUGUAGAGUUAGGGUUGUGAUUUAGAAUUUAGGAUAACAAGAAAUUUUGUUGAUAGAUGAGUAUUCUUUGAGGAUUUUUGAUCAAUAAGUUGUAUUUUUAAGAUAAAAUUCUCAAAAAAUCUAUUUUAGGAAAGUUUUAUUUUUAUUUGGAAAUAUUGUAGAUUUGGGGUUCAGAUUAAAAAUAUUAGAACAACAAGAAUUUUUGUUGAUAGGUGAGCAUUUUUUUAAAAGUUUUGAUCACUAGGUUGUAUAUUUUAUAUAAAAUUCUCAAAAAUUCUAUUUUUGGAAAGUUUCAUUUUUGUGAAUAAUAGUGUGGAUUUGGGGUUUUGAUUUAGAAAUUAGGAUAACAAGAAUUGUUUGUUGAUAGAUGGAGUAUUCUUUUACAUUUUUUGAUGAAUAGUUGUAUUUUUAAAAUAUAAUUCUCAAAAGUUCUAUUUUAGGAAAGUUUCCAUUUUGAUGAAUAAUAGUGUGGAUUUGGGGUUUUGAUUUAGAAAUUAGGAUAACAAGAAUUGUUUGUUGAAAGAUGGAGUAUUCUUUUAGAUUUUUUGAUCAAUAGUUGUAUUUUUUAAAUAUAAUUCUCAAAAGUUCUAUUUUAUAAAAGUUUUCAUUUUCUAUAAAAAUAUUGUAGAUUUGGGGUUGUGAUUUAGAAAUUAGGAUAACAAUAUUUUUUGUUGAUGUAUGAGUAUUUUUUUAGAUUUUUUGGAUCAAUAGGUUGUUUAUCUUAGAUAAAAUUCUCAAAACUUCUAUUUUUAGAAAGUUUUCAUUUUUAUUGAGAAAUAUUGUAGAUUUAGGGUUGUAAUUUAGAAUUUAGGAUAACAAGAAAUUUUGUUGAUAGAUGAGUAUUCUUUGAGGAUUUUUGAUCAAUAAGUUGUAUUUUUAAGAUAAAAUUCUCAAAAAAGUUAUUUAGGAAAGUUUUAUUUUUAUUGGGAAAUAUUGUAGAUUUGGGGUUCAGAUUAAAAAUAUUAGAACAACAAGAAUUUUUGUUGAUAGGUGAGCAUUUCUUAAAAGUUUUGAUCAAUAGGUUGUAUAUUUUAUAUAAAAUUCUCAAAAAUUCUAUUUUUGGAAAUUUUCAUUUUUGUGAAUAAUAGUGUGGAUUUGGGGUUUUGAUUUAGAAAUUAGGAUAACAAGAAUUGUUUGUUGAUAGAUGGAGUAUUCUUUUACAUUUUUUGAUGAAUAGUUGUAUUUUUAAAAUAUAAUUCUCAAAAGUUCUAUUUUAGGAAAGUUUCCAUUUUGUUGAAUAAUAGUGUGGAUUUGGGGUUUUGAUUUAGAAAUUAGGAUAACAAGAAUUGUUUUUUGAUAGAUGGAGUAUUCUUUUAGAUUUUUUGAUCAAUAGUUGUAUUUUUUAAAUAUAAUUAUCAAAAUUCUAUUUUAGGAAAGUUUUCAUUGUCUAUAGAAAUAUUGUAGAUUUGGGGUUGUGAUUUAGAAAUUAGGAUAACAAUAUUUUUUGUUGAUAUAUGAGUAUUUGUUUAGAUUUUUGGAUCAAUAGGUUGUUUAUCUUAGAUAAAAUUCUCAAAACUUCUAUUUUUAGAAAGUUUUCAUUUUUAUUGAGAAAUAUUGUAGAGUUAGGGUUGGGAUUUUUGAAUUUAGGAUAACAAGAAAUUUUGUUGAUAGAUGAGUAUUCUUUGAGGAUUUUUGAUCAAUAAGUUGUAUUUUUAAGAUAAAAUUCUCAAAAAUCUAUUUUAGGAAAGUUUUAUUUUUAAUUGGAAAUAUUGUAGAUUUGGGGUUCAGAUUAAAAAUAUUAGAACAACAAGAAUUUUUGUUGAUAGGUGAGUAUUUUUUUAAAAGUUAUGAUCACUAGGUUGUAUAUUUUAUAUAAAAUUCUCAAAAAUUCUAUUUUUGGAACGUUUUCAUUUUUGUGAAUAAUAGUGUGGAUUUGGGGUUUUGAUUUAGAAAUUAGGAUAACAAGAAUUGUUUGUUGAUAGAUGGAGUAUUCUUUUACAUUUUUUGAUGAAUAGUUGUAUUUUUUUAAAUAUAAUUCUCAAAAGUUAUAUUUUAGAAAAAAAAAAUUUUUGGUGAAUAAUAGUGUGGAUUUGGGGUUUUGAUAUAGAAAUUAGGAUAACAAGAAUUGUUUGUUUACAGAUGGAGUAUUCUUUUAGAUUUUUUGAUCAAUAGUUGUAUUUUUUAAAUAUAAUUAUCAAAAGUUCUAUUUUAGGAAAGUUUUCAUUGUAUAUAGAAAUAUUGUAGAUUUGGGGUUGUGGUUUAGAAAUUAGGAUAACAAUAUUUUUUGUUGAUGUAUGAGUAUUUUUUUAGAUUUUUUGAUCAAUAGGUUGUUAUUUUAGAUAAAAUUCUCAAAACUUCUAUUUUUAGAAAGUUUUCAUUUUUAUUGAGAAAUAUUGUAGAUUUAAGGUUGUGAUUUAGAAUUUAGGAUAACAAGAAAUUUUGUUGAUAGAUGAGUAUUCUUUGAGGAUUUUUGAUCAAUAAGUUGUAUUUUUAAGAUAAAAUUCUCAAAAAUGUUAUUUAGGAAAGUUUUAUUUUUAUUGGGAAAUAUUGUAGAUUUGGGGUUCAGAUUAAAAAUAUUAGAACAACAAGAAUUUUUGUUGAUAGGUGAGCAUUCUUUUAAAAGUUUUGAUCAAUA